UUAAAGGAAGUUGACGGGGAGCACUACAACGGGUGGAGCCUGCGGUUUAAUUGGAUUCAACGCCGGAAAUCUCACCGAGGGGCGACAGCAAUAUGAAGGUCAGGCUGAAGACCUUACCCGAUUAGCUGAGAGGUGGUGCAUGGCCGUCGUCAGUUCGUACUGUGAAGCAUCCUGUUAAGUCAGGCAACGAGCGAGACCCACGUCCACAGUUGCCAGCAUACCCUCCGGGGUGAUGGGUACACUGUGGAGACCGCCGCUGCUAAAGCGGAGGAAGGAGUGGGCAACGGUAGGUCAGUAUGCCCCGAAUCUCCCGGGCUACACGCGGGCUACAAUGGUUGGUACAAUGGGCGUCUACCCCGAAAGGGGAAGGAAAUCUCUUAAAGCCAAUCGUAGUUCGGAUUGAGGGCUGCAACUCGCCCUCAUGAAGCUGGAAUCCGUAGUAAUCGCGUUUCAACAGAACGCGGUGAAUACGUCCCUGCUCCUU
rnacentral:rRNA from 1 species